UAGUCCACGCCCUAAACGAUGGUUACUAGCUGUUCGGUACUUGUACUGAGUGGCUAAGCGAAAGUGAUAAGUAACCCACCUGGGGAGUACGUUCGCAAGAAUGAAACUCAAAGGAAUUGACGGGGGCCCGCACAAGCGGUGGAGCAUGUGGUUUAAUUCGAUGAUACGCGAGGAACCUUACCAGGGCUUAAAUGUAGUGGGACAGGUGUGGAAACACGCCCUUCUUCGGACUCAUUACAAGGUGCUGCAUGGUUGUCGUCAGCUCGUGCCGUGAGGUGUCAGGUUAAGUCCUAUAACGAGCGCAACCCCUGUUGUUAGUUGCCAGCACAUUAUGGUGGGAACUCUAACAAGACUGCCAGUGCAAACUGUGAGGAAGGUGGGGAUGACGUCAAAUCAUCACGGCCCUUACGUCCUGGGCUACACACGUGCUACAAUGGUAGGGACAGAGAGCAGCCACUGGGUGACCAGGAGCGAAUCUAUAAACCCUAUCACAGUUCGGA
rnacentral:rRNA from 1 species